rnacentral:rRNA from 1 species
CCCUUGUACACACCGCCCGUCACACCAUGGGAGUUGGUUCGACCUUAAGCCGGUGCGCCAACCGCAAGGAGGCAGCCGAUCACGGUCGGGUUAGCGACUGGGGUG